rnacentral:rRNA from 1 species
GAUGAACGCUGGCGGCGUGCCUAAUACAUGCAAGUCGAGCGAACAGACGAGGAGCUUGCUCCUCUGACGUUAGCGGCGGACGGGUGAGUAACACGUGGAUAACCUACCUAUAAGACUGGGAUAACUUCGGGAAACCGGCGCUAAUACCGGAUAAUAUAUUGCACCGCAUGGUUCAAUAGUGAAAGACGGUUGUGCUGUCACUUAUAGAUGGAUCCGCGCCGCAUUAGCUAGUUGGUAAGGUAACGGCUUACCAAGGCAACGAGGCGUAGCCGACCGGAGAGGGGGAUCGGCCACACUGGAACUGAGACACGGUCCAGACUCCUACGGGAGGCAGCAGUAGGGAAUCUUCCGCAGUAGGCGAAAGCCUGACGGAGCAGCGCCGCGUGAGUGAUGAAGGUCUUCGGAUCGUAAAACUCUGUUAUUAGGGAAGAACAAAUGUGUAAGUAACUAUGCACGUCGUGACGGUACCUGAUCAGAAAGCCACGGCUAACUACGUG